rnacentral:rRNA from 1 species
UGACCUCGGAUCAGGUAGGAAACCCGCGCC